rnacentral:rRNA from 1 species
GACGAACGCUGGCGGCGUGCUUAACACAUGCAAGUCGAACGGAAAGGCCCUGCUUGCCGGGUGCUCGAGUGGCGAACGGGUGAGUAACACGUGGGUGAUCUGCCCCUUACUUUGGGAUAAGCCUGGGAAACUGGGUCUAAUACUGGAUAGGACCAUGCUGUAGGUGGUGUGGUGGAAAGAUUAGUUUCGGUAAGGGAUGAGCUCGCGGCCUAUCAGCUUGUUGGUGGGGUAAUGGUCUACCAAGGCGUCGACGGGUAGCCGGCCUGAGAGGGUGGACGGCCGCAUUGGGACUGAGAUACGGCCCAGAAUCCUACGGGAGGCAGCAGUGGGGAAUAGUGCACAAUGGGCGGAAGCCUGAUGCAGCGACGCCGCGUGGGGGAUGACGGCCUUCGGGUUGUAAACUCCUUUCAGCCAUGACGAAGCCCUUGUGGUGACGGUAGUGGUAGAAGAAGCACCGGCUAACUACGUG